rnacentral:rRNA from 1 species
CCCUUAGCUGUUCUGGGCCGCACGCGUGCUACACUGAGUAAUUCAAUGGGUAAGGGAACGCUAGAGCAUUACCUAAUCUUGAAAUUUGCUCGUGAUGGGGAUCGACGGUUGCAAUUUUCCGUCGUGAACGAGGAAUACCUUGUAGGCGCAUGUCAUCAUCAUGCGCCGAAUACGUCCCUGCCCUUUGUACACACCGCCCGUCGCUCCUACCGAUUGAGUGAUCCGGUGAGGCUCUGGGACCUGGACGGAAAGAGCGUUUCGCUUGUUCUGUUUGGGAAACUUGGUCGAACCUUAUCAUUUAGAGGAAGGAGAAGUCGUAACA